UGAGGAAUAUUGCACAAUGGGCGAAAGCCUGAUGCAGCGACACCGCGUGGAGGAUGAAGGUUUUCGGAUCGUAAACUCCUGUUAAGAGGGAAGAAAUAAGCGCAAUUAAUACCUGCGCAAGAUGACGGUACCUCUAAAGAAAGCACCGGCUAACUUCGUGCCAGCAGCCGCGGUAAUACGAGGGGUGCAAGCGUUAUUCGGAAUUACUGGGCGUAAAGGGUGUGUAGGCGGCUUGUCAAGUCUACUGUUAAAGAUCUCGGCUUAACCGAGAAGGUGCGGUGGAAACUGGCUGGCUAGAGGAUGGAAGAGAGAAGUGGAAUUCUUGGAGUAGCGGUAAUAUGCGUAGAUCUCAAGAGGAACACCGAUGGCGAAGGCAGCUUCUUGGUCCAUAUCUGACGCUGAGACACGAAAGCGUGGGUAGCAAACAGGAUUAGAC
rnacentral:rRNA from 1 species